rnacentral:lncRNA from 1 species
AGAGCAAGUUUAACCUUUUAAAGAGGAAGGAUCUGUUGCUUGGCUACCAGGCAACAAGGAAGGCUACUCAGAGAGGGGUCCCCACAAGGGAUGAGGGACAAGUUGCCUAACCCUGUGGCAGACGGCUCUGCUUCUCUUCAUGGUAAGAGAGGAAAGUUACAGGGGUAUGCCCCCUGGCUCCCCGGCAUCCACACGCUGCUCAGACCCAGCCACCCCAAAGACACCACCCCUCCCUCAGGGACGGGGACUCCCAGGAGCCUCCCUCAGUUUCCAACUUUAGGUGCCAGGAAUGGGGCUGGGUUUCCCCCACCCUCCAGAAAGGUAGAGAAAGGAGCCAAGUGACCCUGUAAACACGUCCCCAAGGAAGAAGGCUGCGACUUCGGCGGAUGAAGCAGCCCCCUGGAAAAAGAAGGGCCCCAGGUGACUGUGGCCCUGAGAGCCAAGAGUUCAGCAGCUCUGUCCCUCUUCAUGCUGUGGCUCAGGGCAGAGCCAAGCCCCAGGUCCUGCCCGGCCCUCUCCUUCCCCAUCUCCUUCCCUCUAGCUUGGCGGCGGGGGGGCCUGUGGAUAGCUUCUGAAACACACUGCCUGCUUUCUCAUGCAGGAUAAAUGCCUCCCUCCAGAACCUGCCCAGCUUUUCCACCGCAUUAGUAAUCAGCGCACAGAACAAGCGCUUUCUCUCCCUCUCCUCCCCCGCCUCAGUCUCUCUCUCUCUUUUUUUCUCUCCCCCAGCCCCCGCUUCCUUUACCUACUCCUGCCUCCUCCCCACCUAUCAGAGUCACUGCCACCUCCCGGGAAGCUGAGAGGGUUUAUCAUCAAAUCAGGCUUUGUCAUAAAGAAAACAGAUUUAUUUUCCUCGCUUUGAGAAGGUGCUGACAGGAGCAGCGAGGGAAGGGGUGUUUUGUAUAUUGAAAGCCUUUCUCCCCCUGUGGCUAAAUCUCGCGCUAUUUUCUAAUUUACCUCAAAUGCUGCUCCUCCAGCCUGCCUCUCCAUACGCCCACGCUUUCAACCCCUACCUGUGAGCCUCUGCCCACCGGACCGGCUCACUUCUAGUCAUUCCUUCAUUCAAUGUAUUUCCCUUGUUCAGGAUGUAGAGGCCUUUCUUACAUGCCAGGGACUCCAGGUGCUGGAGAUGUGAGACAUACAGCAGGGCAAGGAGGUGGGGAGGGAGUUGCACAGGUACAGGAAUAGAACAUUAAAAUACCAAGCAGUGGCCUGGAGCGGUGGCUCACGCCUGUAAUCCCAGCACUUUGGGAGGCCAAGGCAGGUGGAUUGCCUGAGGUCAGGAGUUUGAGACCAGCCUGGCCAACAUGGUGAAACCCCGUCUCUACUAAAAAUACAAAAAUUAGCUGGGCAUGGUGGCAAGCACCUGUAAUCCCAGCUACUCAGAAGGCUGAGGUGGAAGAAUCGCUUGAACCUGGAGAGGCAGAGGUUGCAGUGAGCCGAGAAUACACCACUGCACUCCAGCCUGGGCAACAGAGCGAGACUCUGUCUCAAAAAAUAAAAUAAAAUAAAAAUAAAGCAGUAAGUGGGGACAGAGGCAUGCACAUGGCCAAUGGCAGCACCAAUGUGGAGCAGCCAGUUCAUGAGGAGGCAAAGACCAAAGAAGGAUCCUGAAAGCAGGGACGCUGGACCAGGACACCUAGGACUGGUGGAAGCUCCUGGGCAUAGGGUGGGGGAAGGAAGGCACUCGGGGACCCUCAACAGAGGGAGCACUGUGCAGGCAGCAGCUGGCGCAUGUGGCGUGAGCAGAGGCGGCUUCAGGGGGCAGAGCAUGAAAGGAGCUCCUGCUGGAGUUUCAUGGAGGGGUGAUUGGUCAGAAGGCUCAGGUGGAGAUUUGGGAAGUUCUGUGAAAGGUGGCUGUGACUGAUGGGGACAAGCCUGGAGUCUGAGGAAUUGGUGAGGAGGCUGAUGCAUGUAGAUUAGAGGAAGAUGUGAGUACUGUGUGAGAACAGAGGUAGCAGAGUUGGAUGGGAGAAGGGUUCGGAGAUGUCCAAGGAGCCAUUCAGGGUAAGAGCUGAAAAUCAUUCCACAGAGGUAGGACUCUUUGGCAGAGGGAACAGCUGAAUCCAGGGGAGGGCAUGAGGGGGCUACCUGAGCAUGUGGGCAUGUGGCAGGGGAGAAAGGUGGAGGUGGGGCUGGGCAGAGGGAACACUGCUUGGGAGAGCCCCUGCCAGGGACAGGCCUGGGAAUGCAAGCAGAGUGGGGUGGGGCAGCAGAAGGAGAGGCCAGCGACCCCAAAGGAAGGAAGAAGUGGGGGUAAAGGAGGAAAGAGUUGGGGCAAUCCUUGCUCAGAGCACAGUGAAAUGCUGUUUGCUGGGGGGAGGAAGUUAGUCCCUGUGGCCACUUUGUGCACCGUCUGGCCUCACUGCUGCCUUCAUAGACUCCUGGAGCCACUCUUCAUUCUUCGUAAGACUAGGUGACCGCAUGAUACUGAGCACCUAAGUGUGGCUGAUACUAGCCAUGGAAGAGGAGCAGCCCUUAUGCUCAGGGGUCCCGGUUGAUUAGGGCGGGGGUGCACAUCAACCCCAUCCAUUAAACAAAGCAACCGACAAGUAACAUCAGUACAGGAAGGCACCUAAUAUGAAAUGAGCGAACGCUAAAGGGAUGCCAGAGAGAAGACGCCAACAAAGAAGGAAGGCAGGGAUACCCUCUCUGGCUCUGGAGCCUUGGGACUGGCGGAUGCGACAUCCAUAAUUCAUAGCCCAUCAAUCCUGGAGGGUCCAGCGCUUUGACCCCUUUGGAAACGGCCCUCUUCUCUGACAGCUGAGCCCUUCCCCUUGGAGGCCUAGGGCAGAAAGGUUUCUCUGCAAGACAUACGCUCGUGCCCUGCAGCCAGCAUGAUGGAUGAGGAGGCCAGAGCUGCUGGAGCCAGUGGGGCUGAGCAGGGAGAGAAAUAUGAUGCAAAGCAAUUUUAAAAGGAGGUUCUUAAGGGCUGGCUGGGGGUGGGGCAGUUUGGUCCCUCUCUCAGCCAUCUAUCUCACCUGUCUGUCUCUCCAACUAGGUCCUCAGUUCUGUGGCACAGAUGACAGGUUGGGGACAGCAGAGAGGGAAAGGUGAAAGAUCAACAGUCCGUGAGAUCUUCUCUCUUCUCUCUUCAGGGCUAUGGAUCUGGAAAGCUCCUGGGUGCAUUGAGGAGUAGCUCACCUAGCAGCCAAGACCUAUUCCCUGCCCCAGUGCCCCAGUGCCCCAGAAACAGGCCAAGCCCCAGACUCUCCUGGCAUAGAUACCGGCUCUGGUCCAGCCUCACACCAUCAGGUAUGGGAGACGCUGGGACCAGCAGCUAGCAGAGGGAAAAUGACAUAUCCUAGGAUUCAAUCCAAUCAGGUUUCCAUCCCAGGGACCAAGGUAGAAUAGAACAGCAGCCAUUCUCUCUGGGAGCCGAACCCUGCAAUUGAAGCUGCCUGGCAGGCUCGGCAGCCUGUAGGUGUGACCGGUAAGGCCUCAGCCCACUCUUUCCCCAGCCCUUGAAUUCCAUUUGUCCAGGCCUCCAGGCUGUACGGCACCCCUGCCAUGUGCACAUAAGACAGCAGGGAAGCUGACAGGCGACCACUGUCCUCCCACUCCCCAUCAGCUGCUAGGUGAGUGGGGAGCAAAGAAACAGAAAGUCAUGGGAACCACCCUCCCUUGCUAAGCAACAAAUGUGCUAAGAUGCUGAGCCAGGGGAGGGGGGACUGGAGCUGGGGGCAGCUGGUAUUAUUGGUCUCACCUGCCCAACAGACAGAAAAUGGCUACAUUAUUGGUUGGGUAAUUGAACUGCCUCUCUUUCCAGAGGUGAGCAUGGGGCAGUCAGAAUUACAGAGCAUCUCUAAGCAGAGGCCUCCACUGCCUGUAGUUCCCUCCCUCCUAGGUAUGGGUCCUGGGGAGGUUAUACUUGGGGGGCAGUAACUGUAGGCAAUAAUGCUAACAGUGACAGACAUGGUGCUCGGGACAGGAAGGGAGCCUUGGGCUGGGGUGGGCUGGAAGAUUCCUCGGAGGAGGCAGCCGGUGAACUGACACUGCCCCUCCUCAUUCGCUUAAUGAGCCUGCCCUCAGGCCAGGCAGCCAUGGAGGGCGUGCCCACACUGACAGCUGCCUAAGCACAAGCUUGUGCUUGGCAGGAACUGGCCUUGCCCACAGUAAGUGUGCAGUACAAAUUUGUAGGAAGAAUAAAAGGCUGCGGCAGCGAGUGUGUUUCUGAAAGUGAGAAGCUGGGAGACAGCUCUGCUGCUGGCUCUCUCCCACUCCUUCUCUCAGAGGCGGCUUCUUCUUCCUGAUUCCUCCCCCUCCUGACCCCCAGGUCCUAUGCAAGUAUGGGAAAUCCUCUGGGUACCCCAGGGAAAGAACAGGGGCCCUCCCUUGGGGCUCUUGCACCCAGCAUGGCUGGUGGUGGUCAGAGAAGCCAGAAGGAUGAAGCUGCCCUGGGCGCACACAGAAUAGCAUGUUCUGCUUUCCAGCCCACCCCCUCUCGGGGGCACAGAGCGUCACUGCCACCCUGUCUGUUCCUCAGAAAGCUCCAGAGAGUCCAGGCAUGGUGGCUUACACCUGUAAUCCCAGCACUUUGGGAGGCCAAGGCUGGAGGAUGGCUUGAGCCCAGGAGUUUGAGGCCAACCUGGGCAACAUAGUGAGACCUCAUCUUUACAAAAAAUAAAAAUAAAAAAUCAGCCAGGCAUGGUGAUGCAAGCCUGUAGUCCCAGCUACUCAGGAGGCUGAAGUAGGAGGAUCACUUGAGGCCAGGAGGUCGAGGCCGUAGCGAGCUGUGAUCAUGCUGCUGCACUCCAGCCUGGGCAACACAGCAAGACCCUGUCUCAAAGCACACACAAAAUAAUAACAGAAAGAAAGCUCCAGAGGCUCCCUGUACCCCACCUCCCACUCUCCACUCUGCCCCACCCUGCUCUGCACCCCGUACCUGAAGGAUUGACUUCUAAGGCUGCACCAACCAGGCCUUUGGUAGGGUCAGUUAUGGAGACCUGACUGUGAGGAUGAAAGGCUGUGGAUUGCUCUCCACUCACUUACACACCCUGCUGGGCCUGGGGUGACCGUGGUUCUCCCCUGUGAAGGCCACGCUUCUGUGGGGCAGCCCCUCCUCCAGCCGUGCGCUCUCCAGGUCCCAAAUGACUCUGCUCUGCUGCCUUCAAGGUGCUCUGCACUCCCUCGCCAGCUCCCCUUAGCCCAGCCCUGUUACAUUCGCCAUCUCUUCUGCUGGACUUCCACUAAUACACACCUCGCACUUGCUCCCCUGACCAGGAAGAGAAAAUAGGGAGAAAAGAUGCUUUAGACUGCACUUCCUCCUUAAACAAGGCCUGGUCUGGUUAGUGCAUGCAGAUGGACCUGGGUUUAAAUCUUAGUUCUGCCACUAGGUAAGUUAUUGUUCUCCUGUUUUACUUUCUCCAUCUGCAAAAUGGAAAUACUAUCCUACUCAGGGCUGUCAUGAGGAUCGGAUUAAAUAAUGUGCACACACAUAGUGCUUACCACUAUUUGAUACUUAGAGCUCCACAAACAGAAGCUAUUGUCCUGCUGUAAGAGAAGUAUGACCUGCCCGAAGGUCUCCCACUUUGAUCCCCUUUUGAGACCAGCCAGCAGUCCUGGUGACCGAGGUAUGGGGCUGCUCUGGGUCUGUAAGAAACCGCCGGACAGUUCCUGGAACACGUAUCUCAGCUCCUUCCCACUGCUGCCGGACAGUUCCUGGAGCAUGUAUCUCAGCUCCUCCCCUCUGGAGCUGCCCCUUCUCUCCCCGCUCACCCCCAAAAGCUUACCUUCCCAGGAUACCGUGCCAUCAGAACAGCCCAGGAGCAGCAGGUGUGUGUGUUUGAGGGGGCAGGGGAGUUAACAGAGACCCUUUGUAUUAGCAUCCCAUUUGUCAGGGCAGGGACAGAGGCAGCCUGCCUCUCUCAUGCAUCUCCAAGUUUCCCUGGGAGAAGCUCAUCAAGCUCAUUAUCAUAACCAAGAUCACAAUGCUGGCUCCUUUCAUCUCUGUGUAUUGCUUGCUGUGACUCAUUCACCAAGUGUCAGGGCUGAUUAGGAGUCAUUGGAGUUGUGUGGAUCCAGAUACGUCACUCCUUGGGAGUGGAAAUCAGGUGACACAGGUGAGGCCAAGGUGACCCAGCAGCAAUACUGCAGCCCCAGCCAACACCAGGCCUCCCAGGUGCCGAACACCUCCUAGGUCUAUCAUGUUCCCUGCCCCAACCAUAUGCUACAGCUAGGACACAACUUAGCCAGAAAGAGGAAAGGGAGAGAGGCAGUAGGGCCUAUAGGACAGCCACUGUGUGCCAGACAUGGGAUUAAGCACUGUACACCCAUGGUCUCAUUUGAUCCACACGUUCAAUCAGAUCCCAUCUGCGUUUUACAGUUAAGAAAAAUCUCUAAGGCUCAGGACGGUGGUAUUCUUUGCCACAUGACGCACAGAGCGUUCAUUGGGGGGCUGCCAGCCCUACCUCCCCAAGGUGCUUUCUCCUGGAAAGGAAUGCAUCCUCACUGUGAGCAGGGUUGGGUGUCCACAACUGGGGGUGCAGCCAUGGGAAUGAUGCCAGUCAGUAGACAAAGGAUGAAAUGGCUGAGCUGGUCAGGCCCGGGGUGGCUGGGAGCAACACACAGGGUGGGGAGUGGGGUCAGAAAUGCCUGGGCUGAGGGCCAUUCAACACCAGAGGCCCUUUGGGUGAGGAGCUGGGCCCAGGUGCAUCUGCUGUCCUCUGAAAGAUCCCAGAGGAGCUGGUGCAUGGUGGGGAGGGGACAGAGGAAAAGGUACAAAACAGUUUUGCUUUGUUUUUUGAAGGGCUGGCUCUAAUGCCAAAGAGACUCAGCCUUCGGGGUGGGACACUGCAGGGAAGACUGGACCAAGACUGUGGCUGGCCAGCCAUGCCCCACAGGAGAGACAGGGGAAGUGGGCAAUUCUAUCAGAGGCCCAGGAGCCAGUCUGCCAAAGUGAUCUCAGAGAUGACAUCAUUGUCCACCAUUGCGUUAGUCCCUAAGGCGACUCAGACAGAAACAAAGGGAAGGAGAGAAGCCAGGCAGACGGAGGAGAGCAGAGAAGUUCUUGGUGCACCCUGAGGAGGAAAGAAAGCCCUUUUCCUGGGGCGUUCUGGUGUGCAGGGUGCCUAGGAGGCACUCAUGUCUGCCUCCUCCAUCCUGUCUUCUCUUGGAAAGUAGAGGGGCCCAGAUGUCAAAACAGCACCAGCUACAGGACUUCUAAGAGAUGUUUCAGUACAGACAUUCAGCAACAAUGUGUCUGGGACAUCGCCUGUCAUGGACACUUUGGAGCAGACAGGUGGGCCCUCAUCUAGACCCAGAACUCACCAGUGUCCACCACAAAGGCCUGUGAUCAUUUUUAACUGUUAACACCUAAUCCACAUCAUAUUUUCAGUAGAACUGAAAAAUGCUCACAUUACAAGACCAUUUGUGGGUGUAUGAAAUAGUUAAUAUUUUUGAUUUAUUACAUUUUCACUUGGCUUUUAUUGGCCCUCCUCCCCUCUGCAUUUGCUGUCAGGGCUUUAUGUGCCAUGAACUUGUAUGAACUCAAGACAUAAUCACAUCCUGGGCAGUGGGAGGGUGCCACGCCUCAGUCAGCCUCAGAAACCACCCCCCUAACCCGCCCCCAGUAACCCUGAGGCGGUAACAGACAAAGGCUUCCACCAGCCAGGGUGGUCUUACCCUCAGCACGCUAAUGCAGGAGGGUGCCUAGUGGGCACACCGGGAGUCACAGCUUGGGCCACAGGAUAUCCCCCCAGUCCAGAGCCAUCACUGACUCCAGAGCCCAGGCAGGUGGCUCUCACACAGGGCAGGCUUAGUUCUCUGGUGAUUACAUGUGGGAUGACUCUACGCUUAAUCAGGGUGGUUAGAGCCUACAGAGAACAGAGUUGGACCAUGCAGGACUGAUAUCUGCAUAGAUCUGGAAGAUUCUGCCACCAGUGAUCUGCCAUGGGGUUUUUCUCAUCUAUAAGAGUGUAUGCCCUGGCUCCAAUCCCAGCCCUGCCCCAUCCUAGCUGAGUGACCUUGGGCACGCCACUCUGAUUCUCUGAGUUUCUGUUUCCUCUGUCAAGUGUGCUGGAAAGUGCGGCAUUGGAAAGGCUGAUGUGAUAAAGGAGAUAACAUGGGCGAAGCUCCUGACACAUGCCUGAAACCUAGUGUGGGUUCAACAAGCAUGAAUUCUCUCUCACCCUCACCCCAGCCCCAGAUAAAUGACCAGCAUGUUGUGGCCACAGCCCAGCUAGGCGCUUCCCACCCACCAUCACCACUCCUUACCUGUUCCACAGACACCCAAACAGAUUCAGUUCGCCCCUCAGCACCAGCAGGCACAGGGGAGUGGGGAGGACGCUGGGUGAUGGUGGAGGGGGCAGAAAAGGGAAUCCUCCCUGGUGUGAGGAGGAGAAUUGGUGGUGUACCCAGCAGAGGCAGCCCCAGCUAUGCCCCAGCUGGAAAAAACCGCCAGCUGGCCUCCGUGGAGGGAAGCCCAGGGUGGUGCCAUUCCCCUCUCCAUCCCCCCUUCCCUGCCACCAGACAGAGGCAGGGUGUUUGUGGGUUGAGUUCUCUCUAUGACUCUGGAGCCCUGGGGACCUCACCUGCCUGGCUGAAAAGGUC